GGUAUUGGAAGCAGCUGUGAAGGAGGACGCAGAUGAGGAAUCAAAAAGAGCACUGACUCGAGUGAUUGUUACUCAAAAGGAGCAGCUGGUGAAGGAAGGCUUUGUUCCUAAUAAAAUUCAAGACAUUCUUUUAGGGCUUUACAAGGAUUUCAUGCUUGCCUCCAUUGCAAGUGGAGAUAUCAAAUAAACAAGAAACCCCACUCUUAAAUUAUUCAAUAAAAUUAUGAAUUACCUUGGAUUCCCCUAUGAAUUGAUAUCGUCCGAUAGCUGUUGUUGAUUACGACACAAAGUGCCUUGUGCUUGUAUAAAGGCUGGAUUUUCAAGUAUUGUUUAUCUCAUUUCCUUCACAAGAAACUUAAGCAGUCCGG
rnacentral:lncRNA from 1 species